GACGAACGCUGGCGGCGUGCUUAACACAUGCAAGUCGAACGGAAAGGCCCUGCUUUUGUGGGGUGCUCGAGUGGCGAACGGGUGAGUAACACGUGAGUAACCUGCCCUUGACUUUGGGAUAACUUUAGGAAACUGGGGCUAAUACCGGAUAGGAGCUUCUGCUGCAUGGUGGGGGUUGGAAAGUUUCGGCGGUUGGGGAUGGACUCGCGGCUUAUCAGCUUGUUGGUGGGGUAGUGGCUUACCAAGGCUUUGAAGGGUAGCCGGCCUGAGAGGGUGACCGGCCACAUUGGGACUGAGAUACGGCCCAGACUCCUACGGGAGGCAGCAGUGGGGAAUAUUGCACAAUGGGCGGAAGCCUGAUGCAGCAACGCCGCGUGCGGGAUGACGGCCUUCGAGUUAUAAACCUCUUUCGCCUGUGACGAAGCGUGAGUGACGGUAAUGAAUAAAGAAGCACCGGCUAACUACGUG
rnacentral:rRNA from 1 species